rnacentral:lncRNA from 1 species
CAUUGGAGUAAUUGAUCAUUUUUAAGUUUAUAGACCAUAUUUUUCAAAAUAUAUAUACUUAGAAUAUUAUAAAUAAUAAUUUACCAAAUAAAUAAUAUAAUAUAAAUGGUUACAUAUAAUAAAGUGAACAUACAUGUGAAAUGAAGUUGUUGUGAUGAAAAAAGAUGAUGAGUUUAAAAUGAGUUCAUUCAACAAAUUGAGAG